rnacentral:rRNA from 1 species
GAUGAACGCUGGCGGCGUGCCUAACACAUGCAAGUCGAGCGCGAUUAAGUGGAGUGGAGACUUCGGUCAAAGCGAAGCUUAUGAAAGCGGCGGACGGGUGAGUAACGCGUGGGCAACCUGCCCCAUACAGAGGGAUAGCCACUGGAAAACGGUGAUUAAUACCUCAUAAGUCAGUAACAUCGCAUGAUGUAGCUGACAAAGAUUUAUCGGUAUGGGAUGGGCCCGCGUCUGAUUAGCUAGUUGGUGAGGUAACGGCUCACCAAGGCGACGAUCAGUAGCCGACCUGAGAGGGUGAUCGGCCACGACUGGAACUGAGACACGGGUCCAAGACUCCUACGGGAGGCAGCAGUGGGGAAUAUUGCACAAU